rnacentral:rRNA from 1 species
UGAACGCUGGCGGCGUGCCUAAUACAUGCAAGUCGAGCGAACAGAUGAGGAGCUUGCUCCUCUGACGUUAGCGGCGGACGGGUGAGUAACACGUGGAUAACCUACCUAUAAGACUGGGAUAACUUCGGGAAACCGGAGCUAAUACCGGAUAAUAUAUUGAACCGCAUGGUUCACUAGUGAAAGACGGUUUUGCUGUCACUUAUAGAUGGAUCCGCGCCGCAUUAGCUAGUUGGUAAGGUAACGGCUUACCAAGGCAACGAUGCGUAGCCGACCUGAGAGGGUGAUCGGCCACACUGGAACUGAGACACGGUCCAGACUCCUACGGGAGGCAGCAGUAGGGAAUCUUCCGCAAUGGGCGAAAGCCUGACGGAGCAACGCCGCGUGAGUGAUGAAGGUCUUCGGAUCGUAAAACUCUGUUAUUAGGGAAGAACAAAUGUGUAAGUAACUAUGCACGUCCUGACGGUACCUAAUCAGAAAGCCACGGCUAACUACGUG